AUACGGAGGAUCCGAGCGUUAUCCGGAUUUAUUGGGUUUAAAGGGUACGUAGGCGGGCUAUGUAAGUCAGCGGUGAAAUUUUGCAGCUUAACUGUAAGCGUGCCGUUGAAACUGCUAGUCUUGAGUGUAGAUAAGGUAGGCGGAAUGUGUUGUGUAGCGGUGAAAUGCAUAGAUAUGACACAGAACCCCGAUUGCGAAGGCAGCUUACCGGGUUACCACUGACGCUGAGAGUACGAAAGCGUGGGGAUCAAACAGGAUUAGAUACCCUGGUAGUCCACGCAGUAAACGAUGAUUACUCGCUGUUUGCGAUAUAUAGUAAGCGGCCAAGCGAAAGCAUUAAGUAAUCCACCUGGGGAGUACGUUCGCAAGAAUGAA
rnacentral:rRNA from 1 species